GACGAACGCUGGCGGCGUGCUUAACACAUGCAAGUCGAACGGAUAUUCCCUGCUUUUGUGGUGUGCUCGAGUGGCGAACGGGUUGGUAACACGGGAGUAACCUGGCCUGUACUCUGGGAUAACGUCGGGAAACUGGGGCUAAUACCGGAUAUGAUCUCCUGCUGUAUGGUGUGGUGUGGAAAGGUUCGGCGGUUGGGGAUGUUCUGGCGGCGUAGGAGCUUGUUGGGGGGGGAGUGGCUUACCAAGGCUUUGACGGGUAGCCGGCCUGAGAGGGUGAACGGCCCCAUUGGGACUGCGAGAGGGACCAGACGCCAACGGGAGGCAGCAGUGGGGAAUCUUGCACAACGGGCCGAAGCCAGAUGAAGAAACGUCGCGGGCGGAAUGACGGCCUUGGGGUUGUAAACCGGGUUCGCCUGUGACGAAGCGUGAGUGAAGGUAAUGGGUAAAGAAGCACAGGCUAAAGACGUGC
rnacentral:rRNA from 1 species